AUUACCUUGGGAUCUUGUUUAAGUGCAGAUUCUGAUUCAAGAGGGACGUCAGUGAGAGUCUGCAUUUCUAACAAGUUCCCAGGUGAUGCUGA
rnacentral:pre_miRNA from 1 species